rnacentral:lncRNA from 1 species
UUCUCGUACAUCUCUCUUUUUUUUUUUUUUUAAACAAUAUUUCUUCGUGGGGUUUGGAUUCGUGGGUUUGUGCACCAAAAUUUAUCUGUAAUACUCCAUGACCACAUCAAAUUGAACGUUUGUAAGAAGAAUUUAAAUCAUUUUCUAAGCGAUUAAUCGAGGUAUGCCACUUUCCCUUGUUACUUAUUGUGCUUUUUAGUACGCGUUGAUUUUCUAAGCGUGUUUCUAUUGUUUGUAGAAGUGGGGCAAAUCAGUUCCAUUUUAUGAAUAUGAAGGAUUUUCCAUCUUGUUUUGGGGAAAAUGGGGUUCUAGUUGCUGAUUUUUCUUCUUCAAAUGCAAAUAGUAACAGAGCUGCCCAGAAUGUGGUGACUCGUGUUUAUCAAUGUAGAUUGCUUGGAAAAUCUUGCUGGAUUACUUUAACUUGGAGUAAAAAUUUAAUGGGUCAGGGGCUUAGUGUUGGGGUUGAUGAUAGCACCAAUCAGUGCCUCUGUAAGACAGAUAUUAAACCUUGGUUGUUUUCUAAGAAGAAAGGGUCAAAGAAAUUAGAAGCAGACUUAUGUAAAAUUGAUAUAUAUUGGGAUCUUUCUUCGGCUAAAUUCGGAUCCGGUCCGGAGCCAUUAAAGGGAUUUUAUGUGAGGCUUGUAUUUGAGAAGCAAAUGAUCCUGCUCCUUGGAGAUAUGAGGAAGGAAGCUUUGAAGAAAACAGGUUGCGUCCCUGCCCCAUUACCAUUUAGUGCUAUUCUUAUAUCGAAGAGAGAACAAAUUUUUGGGAAGACGAUAUUCAGAACUCGGGCUCAAUUUUGUGACAUUGGCAAAAUACAUGACCUUGUGAUUGAAUGUGAUACCAGUGGCGUUUGUGAUCCGUGCCUUGUUAUACGUGUUGAUUCAAAGCCGAUGAUGCAAUUGAAGCGCCUCCAGUGGAAGUUUCGAGGAAAUGACACCAUCUUGGUGGAUGGACUUGCUGUACAAGUAUUUUGGGAUGUGCAUGAUUGGCUCUUUGCAAUGUCUCCUGGAAAUGCAGUGUUUAUGUUCAACUCCAGCUUUCCAUCUGACAAGUUAUGGACAAGCCAACCUCUAUAUGAUCCCCACACACUGCACUGGUCGUGGUCUCAAAGAUUCCAAGAUUACCAUUCACAAAAUCUUGGUUUCUCAUUAAUUUUGCAUGCUUGGAAGAAUGAAUGAGGAAGUAGAAAUUUAGUGAUUAAAUGCUAACAGAUAUUUCUAAUGAGAUAUGAUUUUUAUUGAUUGUGCUAUUUGACUUUACUUGAGUAUAGAUUGUCAAUUUGUUUGUUUAUUAUAUUAGAAGUCCAAAAUUUUGGAAUUCAAACUUUUUUUCUUCUUCUUGUUCGUAUAUUGUCAGGUCAAUGUUCUAUUCAUUUGGUUAUCUGUGGAAGUUUCCUUGUUGAGAUUAGUUUUCUUUAUGAUUAUGCUAUUUUUCUUUCGGCUUUUUAAUUGGGAUUUGCAGUGUUUACAAGACGAAGUAUCGACAAGUCAUUUAUCUAGCUUCUUUCAAUAAAAUCUCUUUCCCAUUUUGAAUAUGACUCUAGGUAAGUUUCUUCUUCAAACUUAAGCUUAAUAUUAUUUUCCCCCUUAAUUUUUGUUUUGUAUUUGUAAACUAACUACCUACAGGGUUUGGUAACUUCACAUUACAGGAUAUUAACUUACGGUGGAGAAAACAAAAUCAGUAGAUAUACUGUAUUAUCAAAACUGAGGCUGGUUGGCAGCAAGAUUCUUUUCCCCGCUUUGUUGCAUGAAUAUGCGCGAUCAUCACAGCAAUCAGUUUGACGAUGGAUGAACCCGUGGAUUUCAGUAUGAAUUCGAGUGUCUUUUUAACUCUCAAAAUUGUAAAUGAUUCAGAACGGUACUCCCCCUGUUGCCAGUCUUUAGGUUUUAUUUUAUGGAUGUUUUGAGCUAUAUUGUCAUUUGUGUAGAUUUAUGAAUGAGACUAGUGUUCAGAAAAACAAUAAAAUAGGCAGAUUAGAGGAAUAGAUCUUAUGAAUGAAGGUUUGAAAGCGAAAUAUUCCAGUUAUUCAUCGAUGAUUAUCUCAGACGAAAUUAUUCUAGACGUAAAAUCCUGAAGUUUUAUCUCAAAAAUGUUGGGUCUCUUGCUACUUUUUUCCAGAGCCACUAGCAAGAGGACAUAGCUGUAGGUAUAUGAACAUUCUUUCCUCUGCCCAUCUUGAAGCAGUGAAUCGGUAGUUACACCCCAUGUGUGAUAUCCAUGCCAUCUCUUCUUUGUAUUACCUGAAGGCUAUUGCCAUACAUUUUAGCUUCUGGAUUUGUCUCUUGCCUGAAUAGACUUUUUCUCUCAGGUCUUUACGAAGCCUUGGAUACCUCAUAACUAGUUUAGAUCACAUUCAAUUAGGAACCCAUGACACUACAUAAUCUAAUGAGAUUAAGAAAUCACUUUAAGGUUUGUCAGGAUGAGUUUUUUGUAAGUGCUUUGUUUGGUUUGAAAAGCUUUUAGAGGAAAUUGGCCCGAUGUGACUUUCUCAUAAAUUUCUUGUUGGUUGAUUUUAUCUAGCAAGUGGAUAAACCGUAAACAAGUAAUAUAGUGAUGAAUAGAAUGGUCGAACUUACAAUGAUCGAUUAACUACUUAAUUAACGUUAGUAAACUAUUAGCUUUAGUUAUGGAAUACUUGUUUUUUGUUUAAAUUUUAAUCAUAUGUAGUUGUCUACUAAAAUAAGCAAAUAAAGUUUUUGAAUUAAUCAAGUUGUAAAAGGUACUAGGAUCUCAAAUCCAACAUUGUUAAACCUACUUUAAUCAUCAAUUGCCUCUUGCUAACCAGUUCUUGGUUUAUGUUGGCAAUCAAAUUUCCUCGUGUCAACUUUUCUCUUGACAUAAAUCAAAUUAAUUUUUAUUUACAGCCCAACUAUAUCUCUACGAGGGAACGAAUACAAAUUUAGAAUAUCACAAAAUAUUAAGAACAGGAGUAUCUAUACCUCUUCUAUAGGGGAUAGUGUUUUUUAUUAUUGAACCUAUCAAAACCAAUAUAAAUCUAAAACAAAUAAACGGUUAACAAUCGCAAGGAAUUGUAUAAGAAAAUUAACAUUAAAUCAUUCGUCCUAAAGUUAUUAGUAUUUACUUUAAAAUCAAUGUGGAACCAUUAAGUUGUGAUGUGGUCUAACUCCUACUACUAGCAUGUCUGGCGAAGAAAAAAAAUGUUAUUUUAUAAGUAUGGAUCUCAUAAAUUGGAUGGACCAAAAUUUAUAAGCCCAACUUAUAAUUUAGAUGAGUUGAAAAUGGGAAAAAUUCAAGAGGAAAUUACAUGUAAUACCUAUAUUAUUAUAAUAAUUCAUAUAAUACAUUAUACCUUUUUUAAUUCAAUUUUUACUGCUUUUUAAGAAGUAGAAAAUGAAACACAAAAGUUACUCACACAAUAUAUUUUGGACUGCCCAUGUCACUCCUACAUGGGGCCUUAUUAAAAGAAACAAUAAAUGACCAAAGUCCCUAUAAUUCUGCCCUUAUCUCAGCUGAACCACAAAUUAUAGAGCUCUGUUUUCGACUGAAAUCAAAAAGGCUAAAUCAAAUAAUCUAAAAUAUCAAAAAUCAUCCGAAAGAUCAAUCACUCACCUACAACCCUCAUACCGCGAAAUACAGGGUAUCUUCUCCAAGAAAUGAUCGUUUACCAUUCUAUGUUGUUGGUAAUGGUGUACAUUGUCUCACACAUUUCCACAUUUAUUCUUGUAGGGACAAUUGUGGACUAUAUGUCAUAAAGUAUACGGAAUUCAUUAUGCAUCAAGAGAUGAGUAUGAUGUCGAAGAAUGUUGAUCCUAGAAGUUUGCAGCCGCAAUAGGCAGUGCAAAUUUAUAAGCAUGCGUGUGAGAAGAUAAAAUGAGGCUACGAAACAGAUUUUGAUCUCAUCGUGUCCCAUGUAGAGUGAGAAGGAAGAGAAAGACGAGGGCUUUGAAGAAUGUCUGGCUUAGUAGUAUUCAUGUACGUUUAGUGAUCACGCUAGAUUGUCUAGUUGGUUGUUCUGUAGAAAUCAUUCUGAGUUCCCCUUUUUUUUUUUGGGUUAGAUUUGGUUGGUCCUUUAUGCGAAAUCUGUUCUUGGG